UGGAGGUGGUCGGGCCAGGACUCGUCGUGUGGGUCCAGGGCUGGGGAAAGACACCAGCGGGUAUGAUAUGCUCGGCUCCGUGGAGGAUGCAUCCAUCUGUAGCAAAGCUGUAAAAGGAGGGGCUUUGAUCGGAUCUGUUUUAUGAAGCGUAAUCUGAGGGUGACAGAGUGACUUUGGGGAAAGAGGCCGGCUUAAAAAUGAUUACAAGAGUCUGCACAAGCAUAACAGGCAGUGACCAGGAGAAUGAGAUGUUCCAGGUGGGAGGUGGAGACAGAAUUGAGAAGAUUCAGUGACAACUGACCGUGGGAAAGGGUGUGAGAUGUGGGAAAGACGACGGCACUUUUGUACCAAGACGACCAUCCACAGAGCCAGGAAAUUCCCAGGUACAAGGAUGCCUCCCAUGGAAGACCUGUUUCUCGCUGUGUUCUCCAACAAGUCCUCAUUCUGGGGAUUCCGAGCAGGAAAUCUGCCUCCACUGCGAAGGGUCAUUCUGAAAAGAUUUACUCCGAUGAGAGGUUUUUGUUUUUUUUUUUUUUAACUUUUCCUGGUCAUUGAUUUGGAAGAGUUUUCUGUAAUAAAAAUAUUUUUCUAAGGAUUUCAGAAAAGCCAGCGAUGCAGGCCACCCCACUGAGCCUCAGAACUGGCAGGGAGCGGGGAGCCCAGCACCACCUCCCUUGUUGCUCAGGGACUUGCCUGACAUCGCGCACGGCAAGGACGGCAAAGCAGGAGCCCAGGAGACACCGCAAGCUCCUCUCUUCCUAGGGACAGAGGCUGGCCCUGGGGACCAGAUACCAUCCAGAUACACGGAGAGAAAGGCCCCCAAGUAGGAGGUGAGUGGGUAGGCUGACAGGUAGGCACUUAAGUAGUUAACUGUAAGCAAGAGUGGCUGCAAAUAAUACAUCUAUGGUUUUAACUGUUUUUAAAAUGGAGAAAAGGAGAAAAAACAGCUUCUGAUAGAAAGGCAUUUUGGGGGAGUUCCUGUUUUGGCUCAGUGGUAACGAACCCGACUAGUAUCCAGAGGACGUGGGUUCAACCCCUGGCCUCGCUCAGUGGGUUAAAGAUCCAGCGUCGCCAUGAGCUGUGGUGAAGGUUGCAGACUUGGCUCGGAUCCUGCAUUGCUGUGGCUGUGCUGUAGGCCAGUGGCUCUGAUUUGACCCCUAGCCUGGGAACCUCCAUGUGCCUUGGUGCAGCCCUUUAAAAAAAAAAAAAAAAA
rnacentral:lncRNA from 1 species